AUUGAACGCUGGCGGCAUGCUUUACACAUGCAAGUCGAACGGCAGCGGGAGGAGCUUGCUUCUCUGCCGGCGAGUGGCGAACGGGUGAGUAAUACAACGGAACGUGUCGAGAAGAGGGGGAUAACCACCCGAAAGGGUGGCUAAUAACGCAUAAAUUCUGCGGAAGAAAGCUGGGGACCAAGGAAUAGGCCUAGCGCUUUUUGAGCGGCCGAUGUCGGCUUGGCUAGGUGGUGGGGUAAUGGCUCCCCAAGGCGAGAAUCUGUAUCGGGUCUUGGAGGAUGGUACGCCACACUGGGACUGAGACACGGCCCAGACUCCUACGGGAGGCAGCAGUGGGGAAUUUUGGACAAUGGGGGCAACCCUGAUCCAGCCGUGCCGCGUGUAUGAAGGAGGCCUUAGGGUUGUAAAGUACUUUUGUUAGGGAAGAAAAGUCAGCUGUGAAUAAUGGCUGAUACUGACGGUACCUAGAGAAUAAGCACCGGCUAACUACGUG
rnacentral:rRNA from 1 species